rnacentral:rRNA from 1 species
GACGAAGGGGGCUAGCGUUGUUCGGAAUUACUGGGCGUAAAGCGCGUGUAGGCGGUUAUCCAAGUCGGGUGUGAAAGCCUUGAGCUCAACUCAAGAAAUGCACUCGGUACUGGGUGACUAGAGGACCGGAGAGGAUAGUGGAAUUCCCAGUGUAGUGGUGAAAUACGUAGAGAUUGGGAAGAACACCAGUGGCGAAGGCGGCUAUCUGGACGGUUUUCU